rnacentral:lncRNA from 1 species
CUCAUCCUGAGUUUGCAUGAAGGAUUGUUGUGCCAGCUGCAUAUUUCGCAUCAUAUCCAAAAAUUCUGAGGAGUUUGCGUGCUGUGGAGGAGACGGAGGAGAUUCUUCAUCAUCCUGGUGAUACGGCUGGUAGAAUUGACGUUGAGUUGACCAGUCCGUAUGUUGCCAUUCACCCCAGCCACCCCAGAUGGGGACAUCUUCUUCA